AUUGAACGCUGGCGGCAGGCCUAACACAUGCAAGUCGAGCGGAUGAAGGGAGCUUGCUCCUGGAUUCAGCGGCGGACGGGUGAGUAAUGCCUAGGAAUCUGCCUGGUAGUGGGGGAUAACGUCCGGAAACGGGCGCUAAUACCGCAUACGUCCUGAGGGAGAAAGUGGGGGAUCUUCGGACCUCACGCUAUCAGAUGAGCCUAGGUCGGAUUAGCUAGUUGGUGGGGUAAAGGCCUACCAAGGCGACGAUCCGUAACUGGUCUGAGAGGAUGAUCAGUCACACUGGAACUGAGACACGGUCCAGACUCCUAAGGGAGGCAGCAGUGGGGAAUAUUGGACAAUGGGGGAAAGCCUGAUCCAGCCAUGCCGCGUGUGUGAAGAAGGUCUUCGGAUUGUAAAGCACUUUAAGUUGGGAGGAAGGGCAGUAAGUUAAUACCUUGCUGUUUUGACGUUACCAACAGAAUAAGCACCGGCUAACUUCGUG
rnacentral:rRNA from 1 species